rnacentral:rRNA from 1 species
UACAGAGGGGCAAGCGUUGUUCGGAAUUACUGGGCGUAAAGGGCGCGUAGGCGGCCUGUUAAGUCGGACGUGAAAUCCCUCGGCUCAACCGGGGAACUGCGUCCGAUACUGGCGGGCUUGAAUUCGGGAGAGGGGAUGUGGAAUUCCAGGUGUAGCGGUGAAAUGCGUAGAUAUCUGGAGGAACACCGGUGGCGAAGGCGGCAUCCUGGACCGACAUUGACGCUGAGGGCGCGAAAAGCCAGGGGGGAGCAAAACGGGG